GUCGAGCGGAUGAGAGGAGCUUGCUCCUUGAUUUAGCGGCGGACGGGUGAGUAAUGCCUAGGAAUCUGCCUGGUAGUGGGGGAUAACGUUCCGAAAGGAACGCUAAUACCGCAUACGUCCUACGGGAGAAAGCAGGGGACCUUCGGGCCUUGCGCUAUCAGAUGAGCCUAGGUCGGAUUAGCUAGUUGGUGAGGUAAUGGCUCACCAAGGCGACGAUCCGUAACUGGUCUGAGAGGAUGAUCAGUCACACUGGAACUGAGACACGGUCCAGACUCCUACGGGAGGCAGCAGUGGGGAAUAUUGGACAAUGGGCGAAAGCCUGAUCCAGCCAUGCCGCGUGUGUGAAGAAGGUCUUCGGAUUGUAAAGCACUUUAAGUUGGGAGGAAGGGCAUUAACCUAAUACGUUAGUGUUU
rnacentral:rRNA from 1 species